GACGUAGGGGGCGAGCGUUGUCCGGAUUUAUUGGGCGUAAAGAGCUUGUAGGCGGUCUGUCGCGUCUGCUGUGAAAAUCCGGGGCUCAACCCCGGACUUGCAGUGGGUACGGGCAGACUAGAGUGUGGUAGGGGAGACUGGAAUUCCUGGUGUAGCGGUGAAAUGCGCAGAUAUCAGGAGGAACACCGAUGGCGAAGGCAGGUCUCUGGGCCAUAACUGACGCUGAGAAGCGAAAGCAUGGGGAGCGAACAGG
rnacentral:rRNA from 1 species